AUAUCAAUAAGCGGAGGAAAAGAAACCAACAGGGAUUGCCCUAGUAACGGCGAGUGAAGCGGCAACAGCUCAAAUUUGAAAUCUGGCGCAAGCCCGAGUUGUAAUUUGUAGAGGAUGCUUCUAGGUAGCGACCGGUCUAAGUUCCUUGGAACAGGACGUCAUAGAGGGUGAGAAUCCCGUAUGUGACCGGCCCGCACCUUCUACGUAGCUCCUUCGACGAGUCGAGUUGUUUGGGAAUGCAGCUCUAAAUGGGAGGUAAAUUUCUUCUAAAGCUAAAUACCGGCCAGAGACCGAUAGCGCACAAGUAGAGUGAUCGAAAGAUGAAAAGCACUUUGGAAAGAGAGUUAAAAAGCACGUGAAAUUGUUGAAAGGGAAGCGCUCACAACCAGACUUCUGGGCGGUGUUCCGCCGGUCUUUUGACCGGUCUACUCGCCGUCCCGAGGCCAACAUCAUCUGGGACCGCUGGAUAAGACCUUAGGAAUGUAGCUCCCCUCGGGGAGUGUUAUAGCCUAUGGUGAUGCAGCGCGUCUCGGGUGAGGUCCGCGCUUCGGCAAGGAUGUUGGCGUAAUGGUUGUCAGCGG
rnacentral:rRNA from 1 species